rnacentral:misc_RNA from 1 species
ACUUCAUUGACAAGGACCAGUAAUUGAAAGCAGCAAAUUGGUAUUGUUUUACAAUUGCGUUGGGGCUAGUAGGUUUAGUCAUUGAUCAAUGAGUCAUUUGACAUUGCAUAACAGACAUCCUGACGUAUUGCUAUGACUAAUAUGGAAUACGAAGGAAAACUGUUCGAAGUAUCGGAGAAACUGUCAACCCAUGGCUCCAAAUACAAUUACAGUCCUGUUUCUAGUGAUUGUAUGGCAUGCGCCGUACGUGUGACAAGUCGAAGACAUAAAGAAUUAGAAGAACAGGUGACAGAGUUAUUUACACCCUGCGAAAAGUAUGAUCAUAGGUGAAUUAUCUUGCUUGAUUUUUAGCAGAGCGUUGUUGUUUGUGGACCUUUUCCAAGCAACGAAGAUGUAUGUUACUUGCCUGAGACUCUUGCCAAAGAAAAAUACCGAAGAGCUCAAUUGCAUGUAGUAACCACUAAUCAAAGGGUCAAGGUUUUCGGCAAGUGGACCGAGGAAAAAUUAUUGGCAGCAUUGACAGACCGAUUACUGCAAAGAGCUACCAGUCAACCCCCCAAACCUUAUGAGAAAAUUCCCCCACUAAAAAUUAAACAAUUUUCUGCUGAUAUACCUUACUGUCCGAUUGUUCAUAGGGGUAUAUACAGCAAGGAUAUUUUGGGACGAUUGUACGGCAGUGGUAUGGCGUAAACAUUGAUUAGGAAACAUAAUAUAAUACAAUAUAUAUUCCAUCUUGUAAUAGAAAGUAUUAUUGGUCAUAUUUUAAGGUGUGUCAGAAUCGCUUGUUAUAAGAGCAAUGAAAUUUGGUUUAAAACAUCUUAAACCGGAGGAUCUGAAUUACUUUAUCCAGUUUGGAGUGUCCAUUCAAACUUUACGAUCGCAUAAACUCUGGAAUGAGUUGACUGACGAAUCUUUAGCUACGUCUCUGAGAACUAUGGGCUUUGAUGAUAAUGCUAGCAGGAAAAUAAUAUUGAACGGCAUGCUGGUACAAAGCGAAAUUUGUUUAAUGCAAUUAAUGCUCGCGGGCGUUGAUGUUCCUGGAAUUCUUAAUUGGCAAGGGGAAAAGAUCGAUGUAGGAGCUCGAAUGAUAAAAUUUUUAAGAAAUUUAGGAAUUCCAGAAGAUGUACUGCAACUAAUUGUUCAGAAAGGUAUCGAUGAAGAGACUAUGGAGAUGCUUAAGGAUUUGGGGUACACGGAAACAGAAGAAGAAGAACAUGUGGGAAUGCAUGAGGUACUCAUUUGCGAAUGCGAUUUGACUGUCCUUGAGUCAGAAAUUUGUUCAGUAAAUUCGCCACCCUCUAAUACUAACAGCUUGAAGAGUUUAAUUCCAAAGCCUGAUAAUAGCGAAGCCGAUUUUGAAGCCGAAGAUACUCGCGUAUGUUUUUCUGAUAUAAGUAGUUCAACUGUGUCAAAUUCAACGUCGAGUCAACAGACUCUAGUAGAUUGCAAAAAUGUGCACGUAAAACCAAAAGCGCUAACAAGCUCAGAACUUCUCACCGAACGAAAUGAGUACUUAAGGCGAACAGUAAUGGCACCAUUAGCUUGGGCCAUGAGCAGAGCGUUACAGUACAGACCAUCUGAUCCAAAUCAUUACAUAGCAUGUCAACUGCUGCGUUGGAGAUAUGGGAACGUUUCCAAACUGGAAAUGAAGGCUGUAGAGGACUUUGUAAUUGCUAGAACAAUCGAAAUGGACAAAAAAUUAAUGGAACAAAAACGGAAAGAAGAAGAAGAGUUGAUGGCCAAACAUAAUUUUGAAGCUUUACAAAAUAUUCCUUGCCAUCCGUGCUGGCAAAAUCAACAAAUUUAUCGUGUUAAAGAGCGGUGUUGGAAAUGCAUUAAAAAAUGGGUACCUAACUACGAGCGAUGCGAGUUGCCUGAGAUUUGUAGUUCGUGUGAGGUCGACUUAUCUGAGAUUUUGAACUCUGACACGGCAACAAGUAGUACUGGAGAUAAUCCAGAAACAGAAAGUGCUGUACAGACUCAGAAAGUAGCCAUUCUAGAUAAUAGAAAUAUCUCAUCAGACGGUCAGUACCGUUAUACGGAAAACUUGGACUUGUCAAGUUAUAACAGAGUUGACGAAUUGUACGGAGAAUAUUUCAAAUCGGAUUCUUACGAGGAAAAUAUGCAUAUAAUUUCAACCAAGUCUGAAGCAUAGAUGUUGAUACAGCAUGAGAACUCUAUUUUAAAAUAUACUACUACUACGAUCAGAUAUAUGAAGCGACGACUUCUCUCGGCGCUCAUGUUUAUGAAAGGGACGCACUUGGGACGAGCAUCUCUGGUUUUUUUAACUUCGCGCCAGCUGCCCGGACUGUUUAUGCAAGGCGAUAAGUACCUAGGACAAGUGGGCCCCACGGUUUGCGAAGCAACGUUUCGACCGGCGAGGAGACGAUCACUUCUCGAUAGAGUUCCAAGCAAGCAACGUCGUCCUUUGAGUUACUUAAGAUUAUACGCGACGCUGUACGUUUGUGCAAUUAUAUAAAUAUAGACUCAUUCCGCUAUUCGUUAUUCGCCAUUUCUUACAUUUGGAAAAUAUUAUAACCGAAUUAGAUUAGAAAUAUAUUGAAUCGAUGAGAAAAUUCAAUUGUGGACAGAGCAAUCAUAGAAAAUUCGUUUAUUUGCUAAUCAGAAUCGUACAAUUGUUAUACAACACUUGAUCAUAAUAUUUGAGUACUAAGAUUCCAUCACACAUACAAAAUCAGAUGAGAUGAAAAAAUUUAAAACAUUGCGAAUAGAAAAAUAUAAUAACACACUGGCGGUGUUUGAAUUGUACAAUGAUAACUUUUCUAUGAUAAUAUGUAGAAAUAUAAUAAAUUUCGGUUAAUAAACAAAUACGGAUAAGUAAUCUUCAAACUAUUGGAUGAAGUUAAAAGUGAAGUACUGGUGUAUUUAUGAAUAAACCAAAUGCAGUACUUCCGUAUAAAAUUCGAGGUUUUAUUGAAAAUGUAGAAUAAUAAAUACUGUACGUAUCGGUUGGGUAUAAUAGUAUAAUAAUGUAAUAGGCAACAAUAUGCAUCGUUCGCUAAAACUUUUUUUUUUUGGACGCACUGAUAACUUUUAGUUAAUCAUAGAUUGUGCUUUAACAGGAAGAACACAACGACCCGCGUACGAAAAUAGGAAAUUCACAAGUUGUCAUGACAGACUUGACGUAAGAAUGCAGGGGAGCUAUCUCUUUAGUGAAUCAUGGUAUUCCAUCAUUACCUAUUUUAGAUGAUUCCCGGGGUUCACAAUGAGUACGUUUUUUCGGUUUACAUUGAAAGUCUUGGUACAAGUUAGAGCGAACGUCAAUAAAAUAG